ensembl:lncRNA
CGGCAGCCCACCAGGCUCCCCCAUCCCAUUCACAAGGGUACCAUUUUGAAGAGAGAGCUAAGAAAAGUCUACUGAAGUCCCAUGCUGUCCCAUACUGUUUCCUCUAGUCACAUAUGGCUUAGAGGCAUUGAAAAUGUGACUAGUCCAAAUUGAGGUGGAUUUUGAAGACUUAUGCAAGAUAAAGAAUGUGAACUAUCAUGAAUAUAGCAUAUGGUUCCUACAUUUUGUCUUCUGAUUGUGUUAAACAUGUUUGUAAUUUCUUACUGUUUAUUUUUUUUUAACCAUUUCUUUACACAGAGUAAAACUAAGUGAUUCAUCCACACUGUACCUUGUUUUCAGUAGAGGACUUGAAGGCACAGAAAAUUGUUUAAUUAAAUCAAGUAUUAAAAUCCACAAUCACACAAAUGCAACUUAUUCUUUAUCCCAUGUUGCCCUCAUUACUGGAGAAAUUAAACCAUCACUUAAAAAUAUCACCUUCUUUUGCACCCAAACUAGAGAUCAAGUGAGCUAAAAUUUAUGAUUUACAAAAUAAGCCAAAGUACUCACUAUGCAGAAAGGCAAAGCCAAAAUGGAAAAUUGGCAUAUAUUCUGUUAUUUGGUGGUGAUUUGGUGUAUCCCUAAAUUCCUAAGCUAUUAAAAAAAAAAACCCUACAGUUUAGUUUCAACUCAGAGAAGCACCUAGAAUUUUUCAUCAACCCUCCCUCCCUCAUAAAGCAAAAAAAUCCAAUGUGGGAUUUAAACCAAACUUGAAAAAAACUACAUCACAACAAACACUUUUAAAAUUCUUUUUGGAGACAGAUUAUUUUAAAAAAUCAGCUGGAUGGGAAUUUCCUGGUCGUCCAGUGGUUAGGACUCCAUGCUUUCACUGCCCAGGCCCUGGGUUCAAUCCCUGGUUGAGGAACUAAGAUUCUACACACUGCAUGGUACAGCCAAAAAAAGAUAAAAAAUCAGCUGGGACUGAAAAAAAUGAUUUGUAACAAAAGUAAAUGCAUAUCUUCAUGGAACACUGAAUGGUAUUUUAUUAUCAAAGAAAAUAAACACGUUAAUAGCUAGGAAAAAAAGAAAAUAAA